GACGAACGCUGGCGGCGUGCCUAAUACAUGCAAGUCGAGCGCUUCUUUCCUCCCGAGUGCUUGCACUCAAUUGGAAAGAGGAGUGGCGGACGGGUGAGUAACACGUGGGUAACCUACCCAUCAGAGGGGGAUAACACUUGGAAACAGGUGCUAAUACCGCAUAACAGUUUAUGCCGCAUGGCAUAAGAGUGAAAGGCGCUUCGGGUGUCGCUGAUGGAUGGACCCGCGGUGCAUUAGCCAGUUGGUGAGGUAACGGCUCACCAAGGCCACGAUGCAUAGCCGACCUGAGAGGGUGAUCGGCCACACUGGGACUGAGACACGGCCCAGACUCCUACGGGAGGCAGCAGUAGGGAAUCUUCGGCAAUGGACGAAAGUCUGACCGAGCAACGCCGCGUGAGUGAAGAAGGUUUUCGGAUCGUAAAACUCUGUUGUUAGAGAAGAACAAGGACGUUAGUAACUGAACGUCCCCUGACGGUAUCUAACCAGAAAGCCACGGCUAACUACGUG
rnacentral:rRNA from 1 species